rnacentral:lncRNA from 1 species
CGAGACGGCGAUUCAGAAGGACACGUCUAGAACGCCGGUCAUCGGCGGCGGCGUUCAUCCACUCACACGUUACGUCAUGAACUACCUCUCGUUCCUCGUCGAUUACAGCGAGUCUAUCGCUGUAAUCUUCGAGAACUGGCAGCCGACCUUGCUGCCGUCCUCUUGCGGCGGAGAGGAGGAUGCUUAUCCGGAGGAGCUCUACUCCUCUCCGGUGUCCGUGCGAAUCGCGUGGGUGAUUCUUCUCACUCUUUGCAAGAUCGACGGCAAAGCUCAGCCGUAUAAAGACGUGGCUCUGUCUUACCUCUUCCUCGCUAAUAAUCUCCAAUACGUCGUCGUAAAGGUUCGAACGUCUAACGUGAAGCUCCUCCUCGGGGAGGAUUGGGUGGUGAGGCACGAGGGGAAGGUGAAGCAGUACGCGGAUAAGUUCGAGAAGCUCGCGUGGGGGAAAGUGCUGACGUCGUUACCGGAAUAUAAGGCGGAGGAGAUCACACCGGAGGAGGCUAAGGAGUUGUUAGUCAGGUUCGACGACGAGUUCGAGGCGUCGUACCGGAAGCAAAUAUCGUGGGUCAUACCCGACCCAAAACUUAGGGACUGGAUCAAAGUCUCGUUGAGUCAUAAACUGAUGCUGGUUUGUACCGAGUUAUACGAGAUAAACCGGUUCGGUUCGGGAGGAGAUGGGUUUAAUGUCAGAUAUACCUCUGAAGAUAUAGGAAAUUACUUGUCGGAUCUUUACUUUGGAAGCAGAGGGUCCGGGUCAGGGAGUGUCUCGACUAAAGGAUCCGGAUCCGGAACCGGAACCGGUUCGUCGAGUACCGGUAAAUCUCGGGGAGGACGUAGCCAUUGAAUGAGAAUCAUGCAUGAUCCUAUCGUUUUCUUCUUUUUUGUACAUAUAUGCUAAAUUAAUAUUGACUGAAUUCUCCAUUCUAUCAUUUAGUAAUCCUUCUUUUUUUAUUUUUGGAAUUUUGUGUUAAUAAACGACAAAAUAAAAUACGAUGAUUAUAUCCGACGCUUGGAGAUUUAAUAAGAACAAAGACGAGUUAUAAGUAGCUAUCACUCAUCACUAAUUGCUAGUUGUAAUUUGGAAUUGUGUUUCCAGUCUUGACUAAUUGUGAUUUGGUGGUUUAUAUAACUCCAAGUUGGUUAAUACGAGUUCACAUGGUUAUGAGACAAUACAAGUAAAAGAAUAUUAAAUACGAAUUCAAUGACACAUUGCUUACCGAAUAAGCACGGAGCAUUGCAUUAAAUUUGUAAGUUGUUAACGAGACAGAGAGGUUGAGAACGAUCACGAAUCUUAUCAUACUACUCAUUAAUGUUUCUUGUUAGGCGACUUGGUAUAUUCAACCUCACGUUGUAAUUUUAUAUAAACGUCAAAGAUAUCUAAUCUUAUAUAAAUCAAAGAUAUUCAAGUCCUCGCGUUAUAUUUCUUUUGCAAUUGUCCAUAUGUCUAAACUAAAUUUUGAUCGAUAGAAAUGUCAUUCCCAAGAAUAAUUAUAUCUGAUAAUGUUUAGUUUACAUGAAAAGAAAUUAAAACAUCCCAAUCUUUUUUUGCUAGUGAAUCUGUGUGAAUCAUCCCUGCUCAUGGAGAUAUGGAUCACUAGGCCUGAGCGUUUUUAACUCAACCCGAAGUACCUACCUAGAUCUGAACCGGAAAAACCGAAACCGAAUCCGAACUGUUAUACAAAAAUAUCCGAACGGGACUUAUGAGCUUAGUACUUUGGUGUUUGGUUAUAAUCCGAACCGAACCGACAUCCGAACUAGGAUCCGAAGAUAUCUGAAAUUAGUUAAAUAUGUUAAUAUUUUUAUAUAUUUAAGAUGAUUUAGAUAUUUUAGGAUAUUCAAAAUAUUUUUUUAGUUUGUUUUAAUUGUUAUUUUGAAUACUUUUUAGUUAAUUUAGAUAGUUUAACUAAUUUUUAAUUAGAUUUGUAAACAAUUUAUAUAUUUUGAAAACAAAAUUGUCAAUUUUUAAGGUUUAAAAAAAAUAUUUUUGGACGAUUUUAAACAUUGGUUACAUCCGAUCCGAUCCGAUCCGAAUCCGAAAGGAACCGAACCGAAAUCGAUCCGAUAAUUAGUAAAACUCGAAUGGUACUUCUGAGCAUAACACCGAAAAUUCGAAAAUCUGAAUUAUCCAGACCGAAACCGAACGGUCCAUCGAACGCCCAUGCCUAGUUGGACUAGUCAUCAGUUCAGUUUCUAGACAAAUAUUUUGGCUUCAACACUUUCGAUUAACAAAAAAAAAUUAUAUCUUAGUAGAUAUCUUAACUAUUAUACUACUUUUGUUUUGCCUUCAAUUAAAAAGAAGAACCAAUGUAAAAAAAAAAACUUUGAUAAAAAUGCAAUAAAUUUUUUUAUAUAAUAUAAUGUUUGGUCUUCAGUAACAGUUGCCCAAUACAAUUUCUCAAAAAUAAAUAGUAGAUUUAUUACUAAAAUGAAAUAUUGAUGGUAAUGGUAACUAAUAAGGGAAUCUUUAGUAAUUAAACCGGUUUGACCGGAAGUAGUUGUAAACCGAUAGUUAGAUAUGAUAUAUAAACCGAUUUCCAAAAACGCUCGUGGAGAGAUAUCUUUCUUCUUCUUCUUCUCUACCGAAACGCGUGAAGAGGAGUGAGUUUCUGCGGAUCUGAAUCGAAGCAAGGUAGCAAUCAUGGGUUGGAUCGGAGAAACAGUAGACUCGAUCAAAUCAAUCAAGAUCCGUCAGCUUCUCACCCAGGCCAUCACGCUCGGUUCGUUUCGAUUUCACUGAUUCAAACCUCAAUUGUUAUUUGGAUUCAGUCGUGUUAAUGAAUUAAAGGGUUUUGGCUUUGAUUGGGGUUUAAGGUAUGAUCGUGACGUCUGCAUUGAUAAUAUGGAAGUGUUUGAUGUGUGUGACUGGCACUGAGUCUCCAGUGGUCGUUGUUCUCUCGGGAAGCAUGGAACCUGGCUUUAAGAGAGUAAAGUUUCAACCUUUUUGUGUUAGUAAUGAGAUUUAAACGAAAUGAGUUUGUAAUCAGUUUUGAGGGCAUGUGUGACAGGGGGAUAUAUUGUUCUUGCACAUGACCAAGGAGCCUAUUCGAGCAGGCGAGAUUGUUGUUUUCAAUGUUGAUGUAAGUCACAGGCUUACAGCUUUCUUGUUCUUGCCUGUCUCUUGAUUGGUUUAGUUUUAUUGAUUAUGUUUCUUCUUUUUCAGGGUCGUGACAUUCCCAUCGUCCAUCGUGCCAUCAAAGUAAUGUUUUUCUCUUUUUCAUCAUGUCUGGAGAUUAGUUAGAGGAUUUUUCAGCAUUGUUAAGAUAUUACUAUCACAUUACAGGUUCAUGAGAGGGAAAACACUGGACAUGUUGAUGUUCUAACAAAAGGUUCUAGCUUCGUUUCUGAAACGUUAACCCUCUGUAUCACAUCUAUUACUUAUCACACCUUUGGAUUGUUCCAGGUGACAACAAUGACGUGGAUGACAUUGGUCUCUAUGCUGAUGGACAGUUUUGGCUUCAUAGGCACCAUAUAAUGGGCAGAGCUGUUGGGUGAGUACUCUAAAUUCAACAACUGUUUCCUGCCAGACAUACCAAUAGAAACAACACAUAUGAUCUCAUCUUAUGAAACUGUUACUUCUUAGGUUCUUGCCUUAUGUUGGAUGGGUCACUAUUAUCAUGUCAGAGAAGCCUAUCAUCAAGGUACGACCUUCUAACACCGCCUGCAAUUUGUUAUGUCAUGGUUUUUGACUUGAGAUGUGUAUACAUACUUACUAUAAGAUCUUGUUUCUCUUCUCUCUUCUUUCAGUAUAUACUCAUUGGUGCAUUGGGUUUGCUCGUUAUAACAUCCAAAGACUGAGACAACAUACAAAUAAGCAUGUCUGUGGUCAGGGAAGUGGCUUCUUCAACUGCAACCCUCAUCAUCAUAUUUUUUGUCAUGUCCUUAAACCUAAUAACAAAUCAGAUUUUAUAAUUUAUACAAUUUUGCCUUUUAAGUCAGCAAUGAUUUCUUUUGUGACAGUUUCCGAUAGCUUGAGUUCUGAAGGGAUGUACUAGUUUUUUCAAUUCCAAACUAGCAGGGCGAUAAGAGUAUACAGUAAACCUAGGUGUAGAAAUCUUAACCAAUAGGCUUAGGUAUUUCCUCAUCGGAAUUUAGAAGGAUUUUAAGUGAUACAUAAAGGGAUAUAUGUGUCAAUCCAUUUAUCACAAAUGAUUAUAAAAUAAAAAUUCAUCAAAUUUAAUAUGAUAUUUAGAGUCGAAACGUUUCUCUAAUAUGUCUUCCAAGUAAAAGAUGGUUUACCUUGAUGAGAUUAGGCCAUGGAAGACGAAAUGGUUGGUCGAAGCCAAAGUUACCACACCUGGAAACCAUCUAAUGUUGGGCUUGGUGAGAGUUUAGAAAUCAUAUUUGCAUACAAAAAGGUAAUAAAAACAAUAACAUGGAAAUUCUGUUAAGUCUUCAUAGUAUAUAGAUUCCUAAAAUUUUGACCAAAUGAAAAAAUGAAUGGAUACAAUUAAAACAUUUAUGGAUGUAAUCAGUAGAAUACUUAUCUUCGUACUGAUUGUUUGUAGUGCACAGCGUACAUGACAACUGGAUUGUUUGAUAAUGUUUGUGAUAUAUAUAAUUUGAUAAUGUUUGUGAUAUUACGGCUAAAUUCUUUAUUAGCAUAAAUUCAUUUGUGAUUUUGAUUUUUGUCAUGUACAAAUAAAAGAAAAAUAUUUUAGGUUAAGAAUAUGAUUGUCUAACAUUAAAUAUAUAUAAAAUAUUUAACAUAAGUAUAUAAUUUAUAUUUUAUGGUAUAUUUUCAAAGAUGUUUUACCUUUAAUUUAAUUUUAAUAUUAUAAUAAUUUGUAUUUGGAUCAAUAUUUCCACUAAGAAUCAAUAAACUGGUCAUAAUAUUAUUCAUUAAAAUCACAAACUAAAUAAGAGAUAAACGUAAUUAUGAUAUUAUUAGCAGAUAUUGUUAAUAUAUAUUACUAAUUAAAUGUCCUAAUAAUAUAUAUAUAUAUAUAUUUUAAAUAUAGUAUAUAUCAGUAGAAUAGGAUAAUGUUUAUUAAUAUUUUAAAUAUCAUGAAAAUAUAUAUAUUAAAAUUAAUUUUAAAUAAUAAUAUUAAAGAAACUAAUAACUUAUCCUAUAAUCAUAGAGAAAUAGACAAAUAAGCAAAUUUAUUUUUCAAAAACUAGUAUAGAUCUGAUGAUAUUGUCAUUAUGGAGAAUCAAAAUAUAAUCUCCGUUUGGUGCUUUUAGAUGCACACAUUAUUUAUAGGGUUAUAAAAAGCCAUGCUCAUCCCAUUCUGAAAAUACACAUCCAAUACAAACAAUACAAAUUGUUGUAUUUCCAUCUUGUAAAUUUGGGACCUCCAGGGAAAAGUACCGGUUGAAAAUUCUGACAGAGGAAACAGCUUCACCUUUCAAAGUCAUACCUCUUCUAGAUAUUUUUACAAUGGAAAUAUGGUUGACAUGUUUGUUAAUCCUUGGCAUUGUAGUGGGCGUCAUACUACUUGUGUUACUUUGCUAUUGCGAGUUUACCAAGAAAAGUAAUAACGACGACGACAAAUCUGAUGGAAGUGCAUAAAAGAGACAUAUAUACUUUUAAGAAACUCACAGUUUCUUUUUAAAAAAAUAUUUAUAUUUAUGAAAUAUAUUUUUUGGUUAGUUAUUUAUAAUUCUCAGUUUGGAUAAUAAUAAAAGAUGAAAUUGGUUAAAAAAUAAUAAUAUGAUAUUAGAGUUUAAUCAAAUAAUCCAACUUAAUUUAUAAUUGAUAUAACUCAAAAGUUGGUCCAUUGAUCAUUGUUAAACAUUUCAAUAUUAAUUGUCAAAAACAAAUAUCUCGAAGGGAUGUACUUGAGACAACGUCCCAAAUUGAAAAAUUGGAAGAAUCUUACGUAAUAUGUAAAAGAUAUGUGCUAAUCCCAUUUCUACCAUAUAGUUUAGGUUUCAUUGAAACCUAUCUAAAUUAAUAUUAUGAACUUCCCAAAUACUUUCUUCAGCUCUUCCUCUUUCGAGUCCCUGAGAAAGUGAGAAGUUAGCUUUGGCUUGCAAAUGCCUUUCUACUUAAGAACAAAGUUUCAUGCAUUCCUUUCUUGAUGCAUGAUUUUGAGUCUACUGACAUGAUAACCAUAUACAUUCAACGAACGCGAUUUUCAUUAGUUUAUAAUUCAUAACUUUGUCAAAGCAGCCGAUUAAUUUAUCUUAACAUUAAUCACUUAAUCACACGAUCGAAUAAAAAAUGUGAUAAGGAAAUCUUAAAGAUCCUUCAACAACUAACACUCCCAUAAAUAAACAAAAACACAACGUGCGGGUCAGUAUGAGUACUAGCCAUGGCUAACACGUUCCUCUCUAUACAUAUGGUUAUAAGUUAUAACCUGCACCUUAUUUGUCAUUUGAGAGAUUAGUUCGUGGCAUUAAAGAAAAAAAGAUGGGGAAAGAUUUCAAAAGCAUGGUCACAAGAUGCAUCUACGUAUCAAAAGAGAACGAUAACGCCAAGAAGCUGAAAACCAUAACUGAGGAGCUCAGGGAUCUACACAACAGUGUCAUGAAACGAGUCAAAAUGUACGAAGAUCAGCAGAAGCUGAAGCGGCUCGAGAAAGUCCAGGUGUGGCUAAGACAAUCCGACGCAGCCAUCAAAGAGGCAGAAGAGAUGUUGAUGAUGUACAUGCCUUCUUCUGCAUCGAAUGGAUCAAACGUGAUGAUGAGUAGUAGUCACAAGAUAGACAAGAAGAUUAGCAAGAUGCUGAAAGAGGUUCAGGAGAUAAAGAGCCGAGGAACAUUUGAUGUGGUGGUUGAAAACAGUGGCGUUGGUAGUGGUGGGUCGAUGAUGAUCUCGACCGUUGAUAGAGAUGAUCAGACGGUUGGUUUAGAAGCGGUUUCAGGGUUGGUGUGGAGGUGCUUGACGGUGGAUAACACUGGGAUUAUUGGGUUGUACGGUGUGGAAGGUGUUGGGAAGACGACGGUGUUGACUCAGGUUAACAACAGGUUGCUUCAGCACAAGUCAAACGGGUUUGACUUUGUGAUUUGGGUGUUUGUGUCCAAGAAUCUGAAUCUUGAGAAGAUUCAAGACACGAUUCGGGAGAAGAUAGGGUUUCUUGAUAGGUCGUGGACGAACAAGACCGAGGAAGAGAAAGCCGGUAAGAUCUUUGAGAUACUUAGCAAGAAACGGUUUGCUUUGUUUCUUGACGACGUUUGGGAGAAAGUUGAUCUAGGUAAUAACAAAGCAUUACUUGUGACCCAAGAAAGAUCAAGACUUGUGGCCCAAGUUUCUUUAGUUAACUUUUAAGAUUUCAAAUUUUGAACAGUGAAAGCUGGCGUGCCGCCACCCGAUGGACAGAACAGGUCGAAGAUUGUGUUCACGACCUGUUCAGACGAUGUUUGUCGGGAAAUGGGAACACAAACGAAGAUCAAGAUGGAGAAGCUGUCAUGGGAGAGAGCUUGGGACUUGUUUAAGAAGAAUGCUGGAGAAGAGACGGUGAAGAGCCACCCGGACAUAGCCAAGGUGGCUCAGGAGGUUGCAGCCAAGUGCGAUGGCCUCCCAUUGGCUCUGGUCACAAUAGGCCGAGCAAUGGCCUCUAAGAAAACACCUCAGGAAUGGCGUGACGCUUUGUACAUUUUGAGUAACUCCCCUCCAAAUUUUUCAGGUCCAAUUCUGUUAACUUCAAAUAUCCUUUGUUUAGUACUGCUACAUUUUAAAUUUCUUUUUAAAGUAUUUCUAACUAACAUUUCAUUUAAUCGUGUAACAGUUCUCAAGUUGCUGGACAGGAACUAGUUGAUGUGCACUCGAGGUAUUUAUUUUUUUGGCAUAUUUUUAAAAUGAAUAAAGAAAAUUUGUAAAUCAUUUCCCACGUACAAACUCUUUUUUUUUUUUCAUGUAGGAACAAUCUUGCUGUGCAUGAGAGCAAAAAGAUAGCUGCGUACAUUUUGAUUAGGGAGAUUAAUGAUUGUAAUUCAUUUGUGUAUCUUAUUUGAGAUUUUAUGUCUUCUUUAUGUCACCGGCUAGAGUUUGAAGAAUUUGGUUGAAGGCUUGGAAUGUUUUGAACUUUUGGUGGUUAAUUAUUGGUUUUGUAUUUAAUUUAUUUUAACCGAAAAGGUUUGGUUCAAAAAAAAAAAAAAGGUUUGGUUCUCUUGAAUACAUAUCUAGAUAAAUGAUUUCUAUCUAAAAGGAGAGUUAGGUGCUAUUUAGCCUUGCUUUCCGCAAUUAUUGAUCCUCCUGAAGGAUAUAUGCUUGGCUAAAGGGAGUUAGGCAGCUAUUUAGGCCAUAAUUGUACUCUUUCCUCUGAUAUAUCAACUCACAUAAAAAGAAGAUUAUUCAUAUGAUAUGUUGUCUUCAUCACGGCACAUACUUUUAUAUCUUUUGUUGUCUUCAUCACGGCACAGACUUUAUUUUCUGGAAGCUUCAAAUUAUCAACUCAUGUUAAAUUGUGAAGAAAGAAGAAUUUUCAAUGUUUAUUAUUCUACGUUACAGUGAAGAAGUAUACAUGUUCUUAAAAGUGGAUCUGUGAAGAAUUCUAAAAUAGCUAAUACUAAAAAUUAGUAUUUCAAAAGUAGAAUACUUCACAGAUAGAUAAACGUGUUCUAAACAAACAUCUUUGCGUAUCUUAGGUCUAGCAUUAUAUACAAUAAUGUUUAUCUUAAUCCAAAAAGCUUAAUCUAUCAAAAGUUCAUUGUAUCUAGAUCCAUUUCUGUUUGACAAAAAGAAAAAUCUAGAGCCAUCUUCAUACCUACAUCCUACUAUAUAAUAACAGCUAAAUUGGAGCAUUUUAAGCUAUGCUACAUAGGCACAAAUAUUCUCAUCCAACCAAACUGCCAUGUCAUUCCGGACUGAGCUUGGAUUUUUAAAAAAUUAAUCAGCUUCACAGUCCUUUUGACCCAUCGUGCAGCUGUCUCGAUCCCGUUUCGCAGCCCAGCCCAUUUGCCCAGCCCUUUGUCGAUCCAAUUUCAUUCGCAGGCCCAGCCUAUUUUUUAUACAUAUAGCAAGUUUAUUGUUCCAUAUAUGAUUCUUAGUAUUUGAAUAAACAUAUAACAUAUAAAUCUAAUAAUAUUAAAAUAUAUUUUGUUUUUGUUAAGGGUAAUAGAACAUCUGACCUGAAAACUGAAGAACUAAAAUAUAAAAAAUGAAAAUUAUAUGAUAUUCAUAAAAUUUUCCAUCUGCUUUGUCUUAAAAAAAAUUAAUUAUGUAACUAACAUUGCAUGAUGUUACGUACAAACUUUUGUUAGCUUUUAUUUUGUAGUUUUAUGAUAAUUACAAUAGUAUACAUAAUGAGAAUUAAUAAUAUAUAUAGAAAUUAUGUCGUUAGUUAUUGAAACUACUUUGAAAAUUUUAAAUAUUUAUUUUUUAUUUUAUACAAUUUUAAAUCUAAAUCCCAAAUCCCCACCCGUUAAUUAUAAUCCUAAAUAACCACAUCACACUAAAAUAUUUCAUUUUACUAAAUUUAAUAAGUAAAAUGACACUAAUACUCUAGAUAUAUUAAAAAUUACAUUGAAAGUGGAAUAAGCUUACAUUGAAAUGGCUGCCCCUUUCAUGCUUCUAAGGAAUUUAAAUCAAAAGAAAGGGUUAUGCAAUGGAACACGUCUGAUUGUUCCUUACCUAAGUGAACGUGUUAUUAGAGGUGAAAUAGUUACAGGCUCUCAUAUUGGACAUAAAGUGGACCUUCCAAGAAUCAUACUAUCGGAAUCAGUAACUAAACAUCCAUUCACCCUUGAAAGGCGGCAAUUUCCAAUCAGGCUAUGUUACGCAAUGACAAUUAACAAAAGUUAGGGUCAGAGUUUGAAAUGUGUCCUAUUAUAUUUGCCACAACCCGUUUUCACCCAUGAACAGCUCUAUGUUGGUUUUUACCGAGUUAUUACCCAGUCAGACCUCAAAAUUAUACAAGAAAAUGAUCAAAAGAUAGGAAGGGUUAAAAACAUAGUCUACAAAAAAAUAUACAACGGUCUACCUCGCUCCCCUAAAAAAAUAUUAUUUUGCAACACAAUUCACAACACAUUCCAAAAAUACUAAAUUCCUUUCUCUCUCCCCCAGAAUCACGAUCAGAUGCUCACCUAGAGCAGAUUCCCCGGAAUCACGAACAAAUUUCUAUACCAGUGCCGGUUCUUUGAAGAUUUACUAACCCCGACCCGUACCCGAUAAAACUCGAACCGGUCCCGAACCAAACUUUCAUAUAAUCCGAAUAGGGCUGAUUUUGAUAAACCCGAAAAACCGAAACCCGAUUGGAUAAAACCGAAACCCGAUUAGGACCCCGUAUGCCCAGGCCUAUCCACGACAAAAGAAAAUUACGGAUUGUAUUUUUUCCAGCUAGGUGGUAACCAACUUCAUGAACAAAUCAUUUGUAAAAUUAUUCUUCGCGCAUAUAAUUAAAUAUUCACGUUAAACUUUGUAACUUCCGUUUCAUUUGGUUGUCGGUUGAUUAGUACUGACAUUAUAUAUCAUUUCUUGUGAUUUUACAUAGAUAUAAGCAUAUAACUAAAACUAUAAGACAACUAGUCUCCGGAACAUCUAAACAAAUAGGAUUAGGAUACGACUAAUUAUAAUUGAAAUCACAAUGUAAAAGCUUAAAGUUAGCAUAUAUUAAAAAUGUUAAAACUGAAGAGUUUUUAAUCAUCAUAAUGUAUUUUUUGCUUCUAAGUUUGUAUUAGUUGACAAAAAAGAUUUGAGUAUUUAUGAAUAUUUAAAAUUUCAAAGACUAGUGACAUGUCUUGCGGUUAUAAACGUAUUUUUUUUUUGCUUAGUUAUAUUCCCUUUAUUGAUGAAUUUCAAAAUGUUUUCCGAUUAAAAUUUUGGUAUUGUGUUCUCAAUCAGGGUCUGUGUUAAGCAUAAUUUAUUAAAAAAAUGGAGAAAAAAUAGUCGUAUCAAGGCAGUUUAGUAUCUUUGAACUUUUGAAGCCUAUGGAUCUUUUUCAUUUAUGUGGCGGCAUGACGCAAAUUAACAUACAACAGGGAAACUUCCUCACACAUCUCCGUUUGCCAAAAUAGUGGAUAAAUCAUCUAACUAACUAACAUAUUGACUAUUGUAUUGUACAGUAGAAAGCUAAUUAACAGUUACAAACAUACUUGUUUAAUUUUCGUUAUAUCUGUUUACAGGGAAAAAUGGCAUGCAAAUAAAUGUAAACUGUCAAAGCGUAAUAAAAGUAUCAAUUUAUAACAGACGGACCAAUGAAUGUAAUACAAUUCGCAUCACAUAGGAUCAUCGUAUUUAGUGAAAUGUUAUUUUAUCGGAAAAAAUAUAAGAUAGAAAAAUUCCCAAAAAAUAUAUUUUUUAAAGUUUUUGUCGUAAAAUAACAAUGAAUAAAAUGAUCAAAAUAAGUUAUUUUUACCAUAUGGUUAAAUAAUCUAAUUUAGAUUUAGUGAUUAGAAUUAAAUAUGUGAGAUCUUGGGGAUAUGAUUUUAAAAUUUAAAAAAAAAUUAAAAACUAAAAAUUUUAAAAUAAAAAAAAAGUUAUUUUUAUCAUUUUUUUUAUUGAGAUUAAUUUUUGUGAUAAAAACUCAAAAAAUGUAGUUGAGAGAAUUGUCUUUUAUAAUUUUUAGGUUGAAGUUCAAACUGGUUGCCCAAAACAACUGUUUGGCACAGUUGGUAAAUAAAGUUAUUAACAUAAAAUUCAUCUCACGAAUUCAUAAAAUUACAUGCAUUCGUAUUUGCAACAUUUCUUUGGUGCAUGAAACUAUUAGAAAAUUACAACUAAUAGUAACUAGUAUAUUACUUUCUUUGCCAUUUUUUUGAUCAAAUAUAUUUGUUGCCAUAAAACUACAGUUAAUAACCUAGAAUCUAAAUCGCAUUUAAAAUAGAAACGGUAACUUAAGAAAAAAUCACAGCUGCAGAUGAACAAGGCAACUUUGGUCCGAAGUCUGACUUUAAACAAUGUCAUGUCGUAUGUGACAACCGCGUUUGACUAAUGAACAUUUCUCCUCCACACAACUACACAUUCACAUACAUAUACGCUAGGAUAUCUAUAUAAAUAGUAUUUUAACAUAUUUUAUAUACAUAUUCCUCUUUAUAUAUACCUCUACUGCUUUACUUGGAUUACAAACAACAAAGCAGAAGUUUAUUUUUCUGUUGAGUAACAAAAAAAGACAAAAGUAUACUCUUCACACGAAUACAGAGAGUCUUCGAAACGAAAUAAACAGAGUUUCAAGAAUGGGGAAACAACUGUUCCGAUCAUCUCCUCCACCGGAGAAACAGCCAGCUCACCAAUCGCUCGCCGAGACAGCUGUACAGGAGUGUACGAGCAGCAUCAACACCGUCAUAUCCAAAUGGACCUCCUCCUCCUCCAACGAGUUCCUCUUUUCCACCAACAGUCGCCACGAAGCAGAGGAGUUCGUUGAAGCCGUAAAACAUUUGCAAAGCACCAUGCACCGUUUGGUUUCCGUCAACGCGUCCUCGGAUAAGCUCGUGUACGCUCAUAAUCUGAUGCAGUCCGCGAUGAAGCUUCUCGAGUCCGAGUUUCGCCGCGUGUUGAACGCGAACCGGGACUAUCUAGACCCCGAAAGCGUCUCGGUACGGUCCUCUUACAGAUCGUCAAGAUUCAGCACUUCCACCACGACUAGCGUCUCCGACUCCGAAGACGAAAGCUCCCACGAGGAAAACCCCAACGAUCAUAGAUUCUCCGGCCAAGACUCAGACGCCAUGGACGAUCUAAAAACCAUCGCGGACUGUAUGAUCUCCACGGGAUACGCCAAGGAAUGCGUAACGGUUUACAAAACCGUGAGAAAAUCAAUAGUGGAGGAGACGCUAAACAACUUGGCGGUGGAGAGACUCACUCUCCAUCAGGUUCAGAAGAUGGACUGGGAGACUCUCGAGUCCAAGAUCAGGUCGUGGCUUCGAGCCGCGAAGCUAGCAGUUCGGUCCCUCUUUUUCGGCGAGAGGCUUCUCGCCGACCAUGUCUUCUCCUCCUCCGUCAACAUAGUCGAGUCCUCCUUCACGGACAUCACGCAAGAAGGAGCUUUAACGCUCUUCGCCUUCCCGGAAAACGCCGCGAAGAUCAAGAAACUCUCGCCGGAGAAGAUGUUCCGGUUCUUGGACAUGUACGAAACGCUCGCGAGUCUCUACGUUGAGAUCGAAACCAUCUUCUACUUCGACUCAGCCGCCGCCGUCAGGUCUCAGGUGAUCAGCUCUUUGGCCAGACUCGGCGACGCCGCGAGGACGAUGAUGACGGCGUUCGAGACGGCGAUUCAGAAGGACACGUCUAGAACGCCGGUCAUCGGCGGCGGCGUUCAUCCACUCACACGUUACGUCAUGAACUACCUCUCGUUCCUCGUCGAUUACAGCGAGUCUAUCGCUGUAAUCUUCGAGAACUGGCAGCCGACCUUGCUGCCGUCCUCUUGCGGCGGAGAGGAGGAUGCUUAUCCGGAGGAGCUCUACUCCUCUCCGGUGUCCGUGCGAAUCGCGUGGGUGAUUCUUCUCACUCUUUGCAAGAUCGACGGCAAAGCUCAGCCGUAUAAAGACGUGGCUCUGUCUUACCUCUUCCUCGCUAAUAAUCUCCAAUACGUCGUCGUAAAGGUUCGAACGUCUAACGUGAAGCUCCUCCUCGGGGAGGAUUGGGUGGUGAGGCACGAGGGGAAGGUGAAGCAGUACGCGGAUAAGUUCGAGAAGCUCGCGUGGGGGAAAGUGCUGACGUCGUUACCGGAAUAUAAGGCGGAGGAGAUCACACCGGAGGAGGCUAAGGAGUUGUUAGUCAGGUUCGACGACGAGUUCGAGGCGUCGUACCGGAAGCAAAUAUCGUGGGUCAUACCCGACCCAAAACUUAGGGACUGGAUCAAAGUCUCGUUGAGUCAUAAACUGAUGCUGGUUUGUACCGAGUUAUACGAGAUAAACCGGUUCGGUUCGGGAGGAGAUGGGUUUAAUGUCAGAUAUACCUCUGAAGAUAUAGGAAAUUACUUGUCGGAUCUUUACUUUGGAAGCAGAGGGUCCGGGUCAGGGAGUGUCUCGACUAAAGGAUCCGGAUCCGGAACCGGAACCGGUUCGUCGAGUACCGGUAAAUCUCGGGGAGGACGUAGCCAUUGAAUGAGAAUCAUGCAUGAUCCUAUCGUUUUCUUCUUUUUUGUACAUAUAUGCUAAAUUAAUAUUGACUGAAUUCUCCAUUCUAUCAUUUAGUAAUCCUUCUUUUUUUAUUUUUGGAAUUUUGUGUUAAUAAACGACAAAAUAAAAUACGAUGAUUAUAUCCGACGCUUGGAGAUUUAAUAAGAACAAAGACGAGUUAUAAGUAGCUAUCACUCAUCACUAAUUGCUAGUUGUAAUUUGGAAUUGUGUUUCCAGUCUUGACUAAUUGUGAUUUGGUGGUUUAUAUAACUCCAAGUUGGUUAAUACGAGUUCACAUGGUUAUGAGACAAUACAAGUAAAAGAAUAUUAAAUACGAAUUCAAUGACACAUUGCUUACCGAAUAAGCACGGAGCAUUGCAUUAAAUUUGUAAGUUGUUAACGAGACAGAGAGGUUGAGAACGAUCACGAAUCUUAUCAUACUACUCAUUAAUGUUUCUUGUUAGGCGACUUGGUAUAUUCAACCUCACGUUGUAAUUUUAUAUAAACGUCAAAGAUAUCUAAUCUUAUAUAAAUCAAAGAUAUUCAAGUCCUCGCGUUAUAUUUCUUUUGCAAUUGUCCAUAUGUCUAAACUAAAUUUUGAUCGAUAGAAAUGUCAUUCCCAAGAAUAAUUAUAUCUGAUAAUGUUUAGUUUACAUGAAAAGAAAUUAAAACAUCCCAAUCUUUUUUUGCUAGUGAAUCUGUGUGAAUCAUCCCUGCUCAUGGAGAUAUGGAUCACUAGGCCUGAGCGUUUUUAACUCAACCCGAAGUACCUACCUAGAUCUGAACCGGAAAAACCGAAACCGAAUCCGAACUGUUAUACAAAAAUAUCCGAACGGGACUUAUGAGCUUAGUACUUUGGUGUUUGGUUAUAAUCCGAACCGAACCGACAUCCGAACUAGGAUCCGAAGAUAUCUGAAAUUAGUUAAAUAUGUUAAUAUUUUUAUAUAUUUAAGAUGAUUUAGAUAUUUUAGGAUAUUCAAAAUAUUUUUUUAGUUUGUUUUAAUUGUUAUUUUGAAUACUUUUUAGUUAAUUUAGAUAGUUUAACUAAUUUUUAAUUAUAUUUGUAAACAAUUUAUAUAUUUUGAAAACAAAAUUGUCAAUUUUUAAGGUUUAAACAAAAAUAUUUUUGGACGAUUUUAAACAUUGGUUACAUCCAAUCCGAACCGAAUCCGAAAGGAACCGAAGAGGAGCUCUACUCCUCUCCGGUGUCCGUGCGAAUCGCGUGGGUGAUUCUUCUCACUCUUUGCAAGAUCGACGGCAAAGCUCAGCCGUAUAAAGACGUGGCUCUGUCUUACCUCUUCCUCGCUAAUAAUCUCCAAUACGUCGUCGUAAAGGUUCGAACGUCUAACGUGAAGCUCCUCCUCGGGGAGGAUUGGGUGGUGAGGCACGAGGGGAAGGUGAAGCAGUACGCGGAUAAGUUCGAGAAGCUCGCGUGGGGGAAAGUG